ACCAGGUAGCGUUAGUGUCUUCAGAGGAGAGAUAUUUUGUUCCAAGACGCAGCAGAAAUGGGUUGUUGGUUGUGACGUUUCUCACGAUGAAAAUUAAAAGGUGAUUUAGCACAUAGAAACCGAGUUGCCAAAUCUAUCAACUGAGACUUGGAAUUGCCUGUACAUUUCCGAAAUGGCGUGCCUCGUGUGUCUCGCUGCCUGUUAGGCGUACGUCUCAUCCCAUGCAAAUCAACAGCAAAAAGUAUAACAAACACUUCUUUAACGCUGGUGGUGGUUACCUUGUUGCAGCCAAAUAGUGAAAGGUGUGACGAAGACAGAUUGAACCAUUGUAUGGAGCAUGUGGUUGCAGUGUAAUCCCGAAGUUGCUGUGCUGUUGUAGUUGAGCUGUUCCAUCUGGGUUCCCGACUUAAAAAUUGUUGUGUUGUCGUUUAUGCCAUAUGAAUUGCUUUUUGUGUUGCUGAGUUAAAAGUUUGAUCUGUUGUCUUUUGAGUUUUCAUUCAAUCAUGCAGUAUACAAUUGAGGCAACCUGAUCAAUAUCAGGUUUGACACAGUCGAGAACUGCUAGAUAAAACAAGCUUUCUGCGCCAAACAAAUAAUAACUUGACUAUAACUUGCAUCAUGUUAUUAUCGCGGUAGAGAAAGCGACAGGCCCCCCCCCCCUGGGGGCCACAUGAAAAAUAUAUUAUUUACGAGAGAAUU